CCCUCACGCGUGCCAGCCCGAGGGGGUGGCUUGAAGCCCUCGGAGGCUGAAGUGGCCGUGAUGAGGGACCAGUUUUUCUCAAAUGUUUAUGUUACUGGUGAACACUGGAGAGGAGAAAGUGAAGCGUAGGCACAUGGGGUGCAAGGCGUUUGACUUCAGAGCCCUUUGAAGACGUUCCAGGGUGUACUUACAUUUUAAGCAAGAAUGCUGACAGAAGAUGAAGCAAGGAACAAUAGUUUCAUAUUCAGUUCAGGAAGAGUGAGUUGUUCUGUUUUUUUCCUGAUCAUCCUUCUGGUAUGUCAUAAAGGCCUGCUUCUCAAAUACGUGGGACUAGACAGAGAUCUUUUAUCAUCCAUAUGAAAACGGUGAAUGGGUUGCAUUGUGACUGUUGAAGUCUCGUGAGGGCUUUUCAAAACUGCUGUAUUAACAGAGAGGUUUUCAUCUUUGGGCUCCGCAUGCAAGGAGGUACCGACCAAGAUGCUGUCUGUGACACCUGUUUUGUCUUGAUCCUUAGGAAAUACAGACAAAACUAAAAGGCUUUUUCCCAUAAAAUUAUUAACUGAGAUUUCCCUUUGCAACUGUGUAAAAAGAGCGCCUGGGUUCUGCAUGACUUCCCUGGAUAUGUAAUUAAGUUAUGAAUUGAAUGCUCGCCAGAGUUCUUUAAGCACUAUGUACUUGUGAACAAUUAAAGCUGGUCCAGGAUUUCCCUGAGCUGUUCAAGUAAGCUUGAGGGUUGUGUAGAUGUACUCAAAGUAGUUUUCUGUUACCUCACUAUGCGUUUGGUGCAGCAGCAUGGAACGCUGCGUAGACUAAUUGGACUGAAGUUUAGGCCUGUGGCUUACACUACCACAGAUGCAACGUUAAGGUCCUGAGCUAAUUACUGUAAAGUUAGCAACUUCCUGUUACUGCAGUCACCAAAGUGCAGACUUACCUUGAGAAAAAUUUGGCUUGAGGACAAGUAAUAAAGUAAUUAUCAAACAAACCUUCGUUCCACUGGGUUGCAAACUCUAAUAGCUGCGAUAUGGAAAAAAAAAGGUUCAUGGCAAACUGAUUUCAUUUAGAAUACAAAAAAGUGGAAGAUCUGUGGUCUUACAGAUCCAAGACGUGUUCCCAUGGAGGCAGGAACAUCUGUUGUGCCCUAUUUUGCUCCAUAAUAAUCUCUCAAGCUCAUAAA